CCAAUAGCGUAUAUUAAAGUUGUUGCAGUUAAAAAGCUCGUAGUUGAAUUUCGGGGUUCUACCGUUGGUCGGGCUUUGUCUGUACUGGCGUGUAGAAUUUCUACCUUCUGGGGAACCAUCAUGUUAUUAAUUUAACGUGGUGGGAAACCAGGACCUUUACCUUGAAAAAAUUAGAGUGUUCAAAGCAGGCUUAUGUCUGAAUACAUUAGCAUGGAAUAAUAGAAUAGGACGGUGGUCCUGUUUUGUUGGUUUCUGAAUCACCGUAAUGAUUAAUAGGGAUAGUUGGGGGCAUUAGUAUUCAAUUGUCAGAGGUGAAAUUCUUGGAUUUAUUGAAGACUAACUUCUGCGAAAGCAUUUGCCAAGGAUGUUUUCAUUAAUCAAGAACGAAAGUUAGGGGAUCGAAGACGAUCAGAUACCGUCGUAGUCUUAACCAUAAACUAUGCCGACUAGGGAUCGGACGAUGUUAAUUUUUCUUGACUCGUUCGGCGCCUUACG
rnacentral:rRNA from 1 species